AGAAUUGAGGCGUCGGCCUCUCCAGAUAGCAAGAGAUGGUGCUGUCAAGACAGUGUAAGCCCAGGAGCCCAGGUGGCUGGGCUGUGUCUGCACAGCCUUUGGAUAAGGCCUCAGAAAGAUCAUAGCCUCAGCAUUCUGCCCCACCAAGGGUGCCUUAGAGAGGUCAGGGCUGAGCCUCAUGGAUCGAACCAGGGAGCCCCUGAGGAGCCGAAGGGCGUUGACUCCGAGUCACCUCGGCAGGACUCAAAGAUAGAAAAGGCUUGCCUCAAAAACAUCGGCAGGUGAGGCCUUCGGCUCAUGGAGUAGACCCAGGUGAAAUCCAUGAGAGACAAAGAUUUUGAGGAAAUCACUUUCACAGAAACACUGCCAGCCUGGGUGGGAAGGAACAGAGAGAGCACAGGAUGAAAGGAGGCUGCCAGACUCCCCAGAUUUUGCUGGCUGGAAGUAGGCUAAAAAGCUCCUCAGCUGCAAACAUGGGCAACCUUUCCUUCCAAACAAGUGCAGUGUAGAUGCGGGGACCAAGAGCCCAGACAGGGAAUCCAGAAGCCAGGAGAAUUCUCCCCAGCCCUGGAAACCUGACUGAGAACUCCCAACCUUUACUUUUCUGGAUUUGGAAUUGCUACACAGUCAAGAUGCCUUUUAUCUGCCAUUUCCUCCCCUUGAAAACUGAAAUGUCUACAGCUGCAUCUGGUGCCUGCUCCACCACGGGACAGGUCACUAAUCUCUUUAGCUUCCCGGGCCCAUCCAUGGAGAGGAAUUGUGUCCCAGAACCUGAACCGAAUGAUUGCACCAUGACCCUCCACUGACCUUUGACCUGAUUUAGAUGUUGACAUUUCAGGCUUUGAGCUGAUGCCAUGAAGCUCCGAAAAUCUUAGGUACCUAGAGCAGGUGAAUGACUUUUGCACAUGCGAGGGAGGCAGGGGGGCGUGUGGCAGACUCCCAGGUGCCUCCAGGUGUAACUGCCUUUUAUGUAGUCAUCUCCCCUGAGUCACAGAGAAGGACUGGUGACUGACUUCUAACCAACGGCUACAGCAAAGGUGAUGGGAUGUCACUCUGGGGAUGACUCACAUCACACAGGACUGUCUUUUGGGGAGACUCGCUGUCUCCCUCACUGGCUCUGAAGAAGCCAGCAGCUGCCACAGAUCCUACAACUGAAAGGAGCUGAGUGUUACCAAACACAUGCGAGCAGGGGCAUGCACGCUCCCCCAGUCAGACUCCGCAUGAGAACCCACCCUGGACAUAACCUGGCGACCGCCUUGUGAGACCCCAGCAGGAGAGCCGGCAAGUCUGUCGCUGGACUCCCGACUCACGGAUUCGUUGAGAUAAUAGAGAUGGAGUGUCACAAUGUUGCCAAGGCUGGUCUGGAACUCCUGGGCUCAAGUGAUCCUCCCGCCUGGGCCUCCAAAAGUGUUGGGAUUACAGUGGUUCUUGACUUUCACUUACCUCUCAGUGAACUGUGAGCCCUGCAGAAAUAUUGAAGUGUAAAGUCAUGGGUCCUGGGGAGAAGAGAGAAGUGGAGAAGAAUGGAACUUCUUUUAAGGUUGAGGGUCUGGUACUACACAUUCCGGGAAGUCAAUGCAAGCAGUUCUCACUCUGGAAAAUGCGAAAACCUCCCAAGGUUUCAACAUGUUGGUUUAGAACUAAACCAACCAAAAAUGUUGGUUUAGAACUAAAAAUAUUGGCUCAAAACCAAAAAAGUUUGUUUAGAAUUAAAAAUAAUGGCCACUAUAUUGAAUGCAUGUGUUUUUCAGAUUCCAGUUUAAUUAAAAUCAGUGAGACAGA